UUUCAGCUCUAAAAAGCCAAUCCUCUGGUCAACGAGCUUCCGCCAGUGCCGAGUGCCAGCUCACAAAGGAAGUCAGCCAGCUUCUAAUAAUGCUCCCCAUAAGCCUUGGCAACUGAGACCAGCCUUGACCCGUGGCAUUUCUUCUGAACGUCCAAGAACUAGCUAAGAAGGAAGGACCCAGACUCAAGGGUCAAGCCAUGCAUCCUCCAGCCGUGAGACCACCCCACCAGUGACCGAGAGGGUCAUCUCCAGGACAGGCGUGGUGCCACGCCUACAGCACAUCAACAGAAGGCUAAGCAAGUCACAAACAGGCAUCGUGUUCGGCCCACUGCGACCCACGUGAAGUCUCCCGCCAGACGGGUGGUCACAUCCCAGCCCAGGAGGAAUGAAUCUGUGUACAAAACAGUGGCCAAUGGACCAAACCCAGCUCUGAGGAACGGCCCAGACAAGACACUGCUGUUAUCUGAAUACACCCCCUGCUCAGGGCCCUAACCCAGCAUACAGAUGUGGACCUGACCGGGGUCGAGUUCACGGGAGCCAGGGUGCCCAGGGCCCAGACCUGUCUAUCCGAUGUGGACCCCAGAGUGAGCUUCAUGCCGGUCCAAGCAUAGAGAACCUCAGUGAGACAAACGCUCACUCGCUGCUCGUGUCGGCCGUGUAGACGGUUACUGACUUGUUAAAGUAGGACAAGGUGGAAAAACAAUACCCACAAGCCGAUGUUGACUGAAAAUAUGUUUUGAUUGUCAGGCAAUUUAUCAUGUAUUUGUAACAGUUAAUGAUUAGCUUGUGUACACACAGACCGUGUUGCAGUUUGUUUCUUCGGCUACAAUGUCUAGAUGUGUCGUGGAGCCUAGUCGAACUUUAAACAAAUGGACUGAUUUAAUUUUAUCAGAAUAAUAUCUCGUACACAAUCUCUUUGCAUGUCAGUAAAUACUCUCUCCUCAAGCGUCAUGUCAGCUAUUUAGACAUGAAGCUCAUGUAACCAGAUACGUUGUCAUUUUUAACAAGGUCAACAGAUUCUUUUUUAAAGGAUAACAUUUUGCAUGGUGUAUUUUAUUAAUAACAAGAAUGUCUUAUCCAUUUCUACUUUAAUGUUGUAUGUGAUUAUACUAUUAAAACCCUUUGUAAAUAACUGGAAAUCACUCUUGUCGUCCAGAAGGUGAUGCUUGGCAUUUUGAUCAAAUCUGUUUGUAUGUGUAUUUUUUGCGAGAUUUGAUUUAUGACUGUUUUGUGAAUGUGGGGGUUGCAAGGUAUAAUGUGCCUCUGUUCCUGUAUAGGGCCUAAUUAGCUGUGUUGAUUGGCUGUUCUCUGUAAGGAGUCUGAAUGGACCCAAGUAGAAAUACUGUUAAAAAAUUGGAUCUGGAGUGUACAUCGUGUGACGUAGCUGAUAGAUGGUCACCCCACAUUAGCACUGGGAGUGGUCAUGACAUCAACCACUGGUUUGCUACGGUCAUAUUGUAGUAUUCAAGUGCAACCUUCCCUUGUCAAUAGAGUGAUUUGAUACAUCAGAGAGUCUGAUUCACUGAUUCAUGUCAUCAUUACCCCGUUGAUUAUAAGUGAUGUGGGGCAGUGGGGAAGCCUAGUGGUUAAAGCGUUUGCUCGUCAUGCAGAAGACCUGGGUUCGAUUCCCCACAUGGGUACAAUGUGUGAAGCCCAUUUCUGGUGACACCCGCCGUGACAUAGCUGCAAUAUUGCUAAAAGCGGCGUAAAACCCAACUCACUCACUCACUAUAAGUGAUAAUUUUCAUCACCAAGUGGACCAUGUCAGGAUUAGUUGAUUGUAGUUCUAUCCAGCUUCCCUGCAUACUUUAAGUUUAAGAUGAUCAUGAGCCUGUUAAAGUAGGUUUAAGCUUGUGAGAGCUGAAGUAUGUUUUGUGUUGUAUGUGUACGACAUUGGGAAUAGUUGUGCAAUAGCUGUACACUUUAUAUCUCAAGAUCUAGUGGUCCUUUCCGUAACCUGUGAUUGGGGUUUUGGUCAGCUCUGUAGUUUGACCUGCAGGAAUCUCAAUAGGAUAAGUUAAAUCUAAAAAAAUUAUAAGACAUGUUUACAGUUGAUGAAAUAGGUUGCCAAACCUACGUUUUGUUUUCAGUUUGAUUUCUUGAAGGUACUUGAGGAACACCUGAUGAACCAGUAGUAUUUGUAUGUUCAAUGAUAACUGUGUCUUGUGACUGAUGUUGAUGACAUUAGAGUGUUAUGUUAAAUUGUCUUUCUUAUAAAAUGAUUUAUUGUUGACUCAUUUUCCUAACAAAUAUGUAUAUAUACUACUCUCUCCUGUCAUGAUGUUCAUUAUUUAUGUGUUGGAAACACAUGUUGUGUAGAAGGCAUGGUAGGCGAUAACCCUCUACAUUUAUCCUUGUUGCAUUUAAUCGUCAUUUUUUUCUACAAUAGUAUUUUGUUUUCCAGUAAUUAAAUUAUAAAUAAAUAAUUCUUCGUU
rnacentral:misc_RNA from 1 species